rnacentral:lncRNA from 1 species
CAAUAUUGACAUUCAAUUUGUACAGAUAAUUUUUCUUCAAAGUAGAUAAAAUGAAAUUUGCAUAAUCAUGCGGUUAAACUUUGCAACUGUCAUAGCUUUUGGUCACUAUUAUUACCCUGGUUUUCAAAGCACAGACCAUACCCAAGUCAUCUUUGUGGACCCUGAACCGAGCACAUGGGGGUACUGCCCAGCUGGCUGGCACAAACCUGGAAACAGUCUCCAAGUCUUGAGUUCUUUAUUUUACUGAUAUUCUAUUUAGAUAAUACCAGGCGGGGAAACAAGAUUUGCACAGAUUUGAAAACUCCAUAAGUUUUCAAAUAAGUGGGGAACACUCACAGGUUCAGGAAGACUGCAUCAAGAACUAAUUUUUUCUGGGAUAAUUGAAC